CCCUUAGAGUUUGAUCCUGGCUCAGGAUGAACGCUAGCUACAGGCUUAACACAUGCAAGUCGAGGGGCAUCAGGAAGAAAGCUUGCUUUCUUUGCUGGCGACCGGCGCACGGGUGAGUAACACGUAUCCAACCUGCCCUUUACUCGGGGAUAGCCUUUCGAAAGAAAGAUUAAUACCCGAUAGCAUAAUGAUUCCGCAUGGUUUCAUUAUUAAAGGAUUCCGGUAAAGGAUGGGGAUGCGUUCCAUUAGGUUGUUGGUGAGGUAACGGCCCACCAAGCCUUCGAUGGAUAGGGGUUCUGAGAGGAAGGUCCCCCACAUUGGAACUGAGACACGGUCCAAACUCCUACGGGAGGCAGCAGUGAGGAAUAUUGGUCAAUGGGCGUUAGCCUGAACCAGCCAAGUAGCGUGAAGGAUGAAGGCUCUAUGGGUCGUAAACUUCUUUUAUAUAAGAAUAAA
rnacentral:rRNA from 1 species